rnacentral:rRNA from 1 species
UGAGGAAUAUUGGUCAAUGGGCGCAAGCCUGAACCAGCCAUCCCGCGUGAAGGAAGAAUGCGCUAUGCGUUGUAAACUUCUUUUCCAGGGGAAUAAAAUUUCGUACGUGUACGGGACUGAAGGUACCUUGGGAAUAAGCAUCGGCUAACUCCGUGCCAGCAGCCGCGGUAAUACGGAGGAUGCGAGCGUUAUCCGGAUUUAUUGGGUUUAAAGGGUGCGUAGGCGGAAAAAUAAGUCAGUGGUGAAAACCUUCAGCUUAACUGGAGACUUGCCAUUGAUACUGUUAUUCUUGAGUAUGGGAGAGGGAAGCGGAAUUCCUGGUGUAGAGGUGAAAUUCGUAGAUAUCAGGAGGAACACCGGUGGCGAAGGCGGCUUCCUGGACCAAUACUGACGCUGAGGCACGAAGGCGUGGGGAGCAAACA